rnacentral:rRNA from 1 species
AACGAACGCUGGCGGCAUGCCUAACACAUGCAAGUCGAACGAGAUCUUCGGGUCUAGUGGCGCACGGGUGCGUAACGCGUGGGAAUCUGCCCUUUGGUUCGGAAUAACAGUUGGAAACGACUGCUAAUACCGGAUGAUGACGAAAGUCCAAAGAUUUAUCGCCAGAGGAUGAGCCCGCGUAGGAGUAGCUAGUUGGUGUGGUAAAGGCGCACCAAGGCGACGAUCCUUAGCUGGUCUGAGAGGAUGAUCAGCCACACUGGGACUGAGACACGGCCCAGACUCCUACGGGAGGCAGCAGUGGGGAAUAUUGGACAAUGGGCGAAAGCCUGAUCCAGCAAUGCCGCGUGAGUGAUGAAGGCCUUAGGGUUGUAAAGCUCCUUUACCCGGGAUGAUAAUGACAGUACCGGGAGAAUAGGCUCCGGCUAACUCCGUGCCAGCCGCCGCCGUAACAC